rnacentral:rRNA from 1 species
UACGGAGGGGGCAAGCGUUGUUCGGAAUUAUUGGGCGUAAAGGGCUCGUAGGCGGUUUGUCGCGUCGGGAGUGAAAACACUGGGCUUAACCCAGUGCUUGCUUUCGAUACGGGCAGACUAGAGGUAUGCAGGGGAGAACGGAAUUCCUGGUGUAGCGGUGAAAUGCGCAGAUAUCAGGAGGAACACCGGUGGCGAAGGCGGUUCUCUGGGCAUGAUCUGACGCUGAGGCGCGAAAGUGUGGGGAGCGAACAGG